rnacentral:ncRNA from 1 species
GUUUGAUCAUGGCUCAGAUUGAACGCUGGCGGCAAGCCUAACACAUGCAAGUCGAGCGGCAGCGAAAGAAAGCUUGCUUUCUUGUCGGCGAGCGGCAAACGGGUGAGUAAUAUCUGGGGAUCUACCCAAAAGAGGGGGAUAACUACUAGAAAUGGUAGCUAAUACCGCAUAAAGUUGAAAAACCAAAGUGGGGGAUCUUUUUAAGACCUCAUGCUUUUGGAUGAACCCAGACGAGAUUAGCUUGUUGGUAAGGUAAAAGCUUACCAAGGCCACGAUCUCUAGCUGGUCUGAGAGGAUAACCAGCCACACUGGAACUGAGACACGGUCCAGACUCCUACGGGAGGCAGCAGUGGGGAAUAUUGCACAAUGGGCGAAAGCCUGAUGCAGCUAUGCCGCGUGUAUGAAGAAGGCCUUAGGGUUGUAAAGUACUUUCAGCAGGGAGGAAAG